rnacentral:rRNA from 1 species
GAUGAACGCUGGCGGCGUGCCUAAUACAUGCAAGUCGAGCGAACGGACGAGAAGCUUGCUUCUCUGAUGUUAGCGGCGGACGGGUGAGUAACACGUGGAUAACCUACCUAUAAGACUGGGAUAACUUCGGGAAACCGGAGCUAAUACCGGAUGAUAUUUUGAACCGCAUGGUUCAAAAGUGAAAGACGGUCUUGCUGUCACUUAUAGAUGGAUCCGCGCUGCAUUAGCUAGUUGGUAAGGUAACGGCUUACCAAGGCAACGAUGCAUAGCCGACCUGAGAGGGUGAUCGGCCACACUGGAACUGAGACACGGUCCAGACUCCUACGGGAGGCAGAAGUAGGGAAUCUUCCGCAAUGGGCGAAAGCCUGACGGAGCAACGCCGCGUGAGUGAUGAAGGGCUUCGGAUCGUAAAACGCUGUUAUUAGGGAAGAACAUAUGUGUAAGUAACUGUGCACAUCUUGACGGUACCUAAUCAGAAAGCCACGGCUAACUACGU